AGUCCAUUAUGUGAGUACUUCCUCAGCAUUAAUUGAAAUGCUCCCACACCUCAUAUAGAGAUUCACCUUUGUAUUGUUUAAAGUUGGCAAUUUCUCGCCUAAGUUA
rfam:Gossypium hirsutum cultivar TM-1 unplaced genomic scaffold scaffold896.1, whole genome shotgun sequence